rnacentral:rRNA from 1 species
GAUGAACGCUGGCGGCGUGCCUAAUACAUGCAAGUCGAGCGAACAGAUAAGGAGCUUGCUCCUUUGACGUUAGCGGCGGACGGGUGAGUAACACGUGGGUAACCUACCUAUAAGGCUGGAAUAACUCCGGGAAACCGGGGCUAAUGCCGGAUAACAUUUAGAACCGCAUGGUUCUAAAGUGAAAGAUGGUUUUGCUAUCACUUAUAGAUGGACCCGCGCCGUAUUAGCUAGUUGGUAAGGUAACGGCUUACCAAGGCAACGAUACGUAGCCGACCUGAGAGGGUGAUCGGCCACACUGGAACUGAGACACGGUCCAGACUCCUACGGGAGGCAGCAGUAGGGAAUCUUCCGCAAUGGGCGAAAGCCUGACGGAGCAACGCCGCGUGAGUGAUGAAGGUCUUCGGAUCGUAAAGCUCUGUUAUUAGGGAAGAACAAAUGUGUAAGUAACUGUGCACGUCUUGACGGUACCUAAUCAGAAAGCCACGGCUAACUACGUG